rnacentral:rRNA from 1 species
UAGCCUUGACAUAUUAUAGAAUUCAGUAGAGAUACAGAAGUGCCUUCGGGAGCUAUAUUACAGGUGCUGCACGGCUGUCGUCAGCUCGUGUCGUGAGAUGUUGGGUUAAGUCCCGCAACGAGCGCAACCCUCGUCACUAGUUACUAACGGUUAGGCCGAGGACUCUAGUGAGACUGCCUUCGUAAGGAGGAGGAAGGUGAGGACGACGUCAAGUCAUCAUGGCCCUUACGGCUAGGGCAACACACGUGCUACAAUGGUUAGGACAAUGAGAAGCAAUAUCGCGAGGUGGAGCAAAUCUAUAAACCUAAUCUCAGUUCGGAUUGUAGUCUGCAACUCGACUACAUGAAGCUGGAAUCACUAGUAAUCGUAGAUCAGCUAUGCUACGGUGAAUACGUUACCCGGGUCU